CCAAGUUUUUAAGGGCGCACGGUGGAUGCCUUGGCACCAGGAACCGAUGAAGGACGUGGGAGGCCACGAUAGUCCCCGGGGAGUCGUCAACCAGGCUUUGAUCCGGGGGUUUCCGAAUGGGGAAACCCGGCAGUCGUCAUGGGCUGUCACCCGCUGCUGAACACAUAGGCAGUGUGGAGGGAACGCGGGGAAGUGAAACAUCUCAGUACCCGCAGGAAGAGAAAACAACCGUGAUUCCGGGAGUAGUGGCGAGCGAAACCGGAUGAGGCUAAACCGUAUACGUGUGAGACCCGGCAGGGGUUGCGUAUACGGGGUUGUGGGAUCUCUCUUCUACGGUCUGCCGGCCGUAGGGCGAGUCAGAAACCGUUGAUGUAGGCGAAGGACAUGCGAAAGGUCCGGCGUAGAGGGUAAGACCCCCGUAGUCGAAACGUCAGCGGCUCGUUUGAGAGACACCCAAGUAGCACGGGGCCCGAGAAAUCCCGUGUGAAUCUGGCGGGACCACCCGCUAAGCCUAAAUAUUCCCUGGUGACCGAUAGCGGAUAGUACCGUGAGGGAAUGGUGAAAAGUACCCCGGGAGGGGAGUGAAAUAGUACCUGAAACCGUGUGCCUACAAGCCGUGGGAGCGUCGGAAUGGAGCUUGCUCCAUUCUCGUGACUGCGUGCCUUUUGAAGAAUGAGCCUGCGAGUUUGCGGUGUGUUGCGAGGUUAACCCGGGUGGGGAAGCCGUAGCGAAAGCGAGUCCGAAUAGGGCGUUUCAGUAGCACGCUCAAGACCCGAAGCGGAGUGAUCUAGCCAUGGGCAGGUUGAAGCGGAGGUAAGACUUCGUGGAGGACCGAACCCACCAGGGUUGAAAACCUGGGGGAUGACCUGUGGUUAGGGGUGAAAGGCCAAUCAAACUCCGUGAUAGCUGGUUCUCCCCGAAAUGCAUUUAGGUGCAGCGUCGUGUGUUUCUUGCCGGAGGUAGAGCACUGGAUAGGCGAUGGGCCCUACCGGGUUACUGACCUUAGCCAAACUCCGAAUGCCGGUAAGUGAGAGCGCGGCAGUGAGACUGUGGGGGAUAAGCUCCAUGGUCGAGAGGGAAACAGCCCAGAGCAUCGACUAAGGCCCCUAAGCGUACGCUAAGUGGGAAAGGAUGUGGAGUCGCAGAGACAACCAGGAGGUUGGCUUAGAAGCAGCCACCCUUGAAAGAGUGCGUAAUAGCUCACUGGUCUAGUGAUUCCGCGCCGACAAUGUAGCGGGGCUCAAGCGUACCGCCGAAGUCGUGUCAUUGCGAUAUAUACCCCCAACGGGGAUCGUGAUGGGUAGGGGAGCGUCGUGUGCCGGGUGAAGCAGCACCGGAAGGUAGUUGUGGACGGUUCACGAGUGAGAAUGCAGGCAUGAGUAGCGAUUCACACGUGAGAAACGUGUGCGCCGAUUGACUAAGGGUUCCUGGGUCAAGCUGAUCUGCCCAGGGUAAGUCGGGACCUAAGGCGAGGCCGACAGGCGUAGUCGAUGGAUAACCGGUUGAUAUUCCGGUACCCGCUGUGAAGCGUCAAACAUCGAGCAUCGUGAUGCUAAGGCCGUGAAGCCGCCCCUGAUCUCUUCGGAGUGAGGGGGAGUGGUGGAGCCGCUGAACCAAGCGGUUAGUAGGUGAGUGAUGGGGUGACGCAGGAAGGUAGUCCAUCCCGGGCGGUGGUUGUCCCGGGGUAAGGGUGUAGGCCGUGGUCUAGGUAAAUCCGGAUCACUUAAGGCUGAGACCUGAUGCCGAGCCGAUUGUGGUGAAGUGGAUGAUCCUAUGCUGUCGAGAAAAGCCUCUAGCGAGUUUCAUGGCGGCCCGUACCCUAAACCGACUCAGGUGGUCAGGUAGAGAAUACCGAGGCGUUCGGGUGAACUAUGGUUAAGGAACUCGGCAAAAUGCCCCCGUAACUUCGGGAGAAGGGGGGCCACAUCCGGUGAGCCUGCCCGGUGCUGGAACGUUAAGGGGACCGGUUAGCUCUGAUUCGUCAGGGCGAAGCUGAGAACUUAAGCGCCAGUAAACGGCGGUGGUAACUAUAACCAUCCUAAGGUAGCGAAAUUCCUUGUCGGGUAAGUUCCGACCUGCACGAAUGGCGUAACGACUUCUCGACUGUCUCAACCAUAGGCCCGGUGAAAUUGCACUACGAGUAAAGAUGCUCGUUUCGCGCAGCAGGACGGAAAGACCCCGGGACCUUUACUACAGUUUGAUAUUGGUGUUCGGUUCGGCUUGUGUAGGAUAGCUGGGAGACUGUGAAGUCCACACGCCAGUGUGGGUGGAGUCGUCGUUGAAAUACCAGUCUGGUCGUGCUGGAUGUCUAACCUGGGUCCGUGAUCCGGAUCAGGGACAGUGUCUGAUGGGUAGUUUAACUGGGGCGGUUGCCUCCUAAAGGGUAACGGAGGCGCCCAAAGGUUCCCUCAGCCUGGUUGGCAAUCAGGUGUUGAGUGUAAGUGCACAAGGGAGCUUGACUGUGAGACCGACGGGUCGAGCAGGGACGAAAGUCGGGACUAGUGAUCCGGCGGUGGCUUGUGGAAGCGCCGUCGCUCAACGGAUAAAAGGUACCCCGGGGAUAACAGGCUGAUCUUCCCCAAGAGUCCAUAUCGACGGGAUGGUUUGGCACCUCGAUGUCGGCUCGUCGCAUCCUGGGGCUGGAGUCGGUCCCAAGGGUUGGGCUGUUCGCCCAUUAAAGCGGUACGCGAGCUGGGUUUAGAACGUCGUGAGACAGUUCGGUCCCUAUCCGCUGUGCGCGUAGGAGUCUUGAGAAGGGCUGUCCCUAGUACGAGAGGACCGGGACGGACGAACCUCUGGUGUGCCAGUUGUUCUGCCAAGGGCAUGGCUGGUUGGCUACGUUCGGGAGGGAUAACCGCUGAAAGCAUCUAAGCGGGAAGCCUGCUUCGAGAUGAGGACUCCCACCUCCUAGAGAGGGUAAGGCUCCCAGUAGACGACUGGGUUGAUAGGCCGGAUAUGGAAGCACGGUAACGUGUGGAGUUGACCGGUACUAAUAGGCCGAGGGCUUGUCCUC
rnacentral:rRNA from 1 species